CUAAGGAUGUUUCCACCAGAGGUCAGCUUGCUGAUCGCUACAGGAAACACUUAGCAGGACCUAGUCAUAGGUCCAUCAACGCGGCCAGGCCGUCCUCAUAUCCCUUCACAGACAAGCGGAAUGCAGCUGCGUUCCUUGCGGGGCCU
rnacentral:misc_RNA from 1 species